UACGGAGGGUGCGAGCGUUGUCCGGAAUCACUGGGCGUAAAGGGCGCGUAGGCGGCCGUGUAAGUCACUUGUGAAAUCCCGGGGCUCAACUCCGGGGCCGCAGGUGAGACUGCGUGGCUAGAGCACGGUAGAGGCGAGUGGAAUUCCCGGUGUAGCGGUGGAAUGCGUAGAUAUCGGGAAGAACACCGGGUGGCGAAGGCGGCUCGCUGGGCCGUUGCUGACGCUGAGGCGGCG
rnacentral:rRNA from 1 species